UAUGUAGGUGGCAAGCGUUGUCCGGAUUUACUGGGCGUAAAGAGCGCGCAGGCGGUCGUUCAAGUCGCGUGUGAAAGCCCCCCGGCUCAACUGGGGAGGGUCACGCGAUACUGAUCGACUCGAAGGCAGGAGAGGGUAGUGGAAUUCCCGGUGUAGUGGUGAAAUGCGUAGAUAUCGGGAGGAACACCAGUGGCGAAGGCGACUACCUGGCCUGUUCUUGACGCUGAGGCGCGAAAGCUAGGGGAGCAAACGGG
rnacentral:rRNA from 1 species